rnacentral:rRNA from 1 species
AGCGAACGCUGGCGGCAGGCCUAACACAUGCAAGUCGAACGAAGUCUUCGGACUUAGUGGCGGACGGGUGAGUAACACGUGGGAACGUACCUUUUGGUUCGGAACAACUCAGGGAAACUUGAGCUAAUACCGGAUGAGCCCUUAGGGGGAAAGAUUUAUCGCCGAAAGAGCGGCCCGCGUUAGAUUAGCUAGUUGGUGAGGUAAAGGCUCACCAAGGCUACGAUCUAUAGCUGGUCUGAGAGGAUGAUCAGCCACACUGGGACUGAGAUACGGCCCAGACUCCUACGGGAGGCAGCAGUGAGGAAUAUUCCACAAUGGGGGAAACCCUGAUGGAGCGAUGCCGCGUGCAGGAAGACGCUUUUCGGAGUGUAAACUGCUUUUAAUAGGGAAGAUUAUGACGGUACCUAUAGAAUAAGGACCGGCUAACUACGUGCCAGCCGCCGCAGUAAAAC